CCUCUGAGUUCCGCCCAACCGGGCAAGACCCGAGCUGCUCCUGAGCGUGCGCAGAGACAAGGAGCGCCUGAGCUCGCAUUGAGUCCGCUGGUUUCCUUCUUGGACCAACAGAACGCGUACGUUGGUGUUCCCGGUUGUCAGUUGUAGAAGAACAGAGAAAUAAAGGACCCUGAGACGUCCGCUGCCGCGGUAGCGGCAUUUUUCUCUUCCUCACAAAACAGUAUUGUAAAAACCUUACUGUUAAGAGUGAUUGGGGUGGUUUGGUUGGGCUAGAGUCAGGACAGAGGUGUCAAGCUGCAACUACAGCAGAUCUGGGACUUAAGGAGUUUGUCUCGGGCUGCUCAGCCUCCCAAGUGCGAGAACUGCAGACGCGAGCCACCACACCUGGCUUUCAAGGAACUUUUCGGUUUCAUGAGGUCCCAUUCACUAACUGGUGUUCUCAGUGUUUGCCCCGUCUGUGUUCUACUCAGUCAUCUCCUACGGCAAUGCACCCAAGCUUAGUCACCACUUUCUCCUCUGUCAGGUCCGGUGUAUCCGGUUUUCUGUUGAGAUCUUCGAUGCACUUGCACUUGAGUUCUGCAGGAUGAUGAGUGUCUCAGUUCUCCAGAUAAAACUUCAAGUACUGUAUUAAAUGGAUAUGAAGAGAACAAACAGCCUUGCUUUGUUCCUGAUUUUAGUGGAGUUUCUUAAAGUUUCUAUCCAUUUUUGGAAAAUAAUUUGAGGAGUAUUGGCAUUAACUCUUCUUUGUGCUCUGGGCUUGUUUUGGUUGAUUUUGAUGACUGCUCUUCAGUAGGAAUUAUAAGUCUGUUUCAAAUGUUUACCUUAUUGUCUUAGUCAAAGUUUGUAUUUCUGCACCAAACAUCAUAACUUGGCCUUCUCCCUUGCAGUUUUAAUAUUUUUUCAGUAUGUUUUGUGUUUUUAUUAUUAUAUGCUGAAAGGACUCUCUAUUUUGGUUUGAUCUAUUUCGUGUUCUGUAUGCUUCUUGUAUGCAUCUUCUUCUCUAGGUUGUAAAAUUUUUCUUCUAUGAUUUUGUUCAAUAUAUUUUCUGAAACUUCAAACUGCUUUCUGUCUUAUUAUGAGGCUUCCAGGACCCACAUGCAAUUUAAAUAAGACACAGAGACGUCUAUGUAGUUUAAAGCUGUUGGCCUUGUCCUAGGUCAAUCUCUCAGCUAGCUCAUCUAAAUUUAUCCUAACUUCUCUGCCUCCUGUCUCCUCAUGUGAUUCUCACUAUCUGCUCUCUCCAUUCUGCUUCUUUCUGUGUCUCCGUCCAUCUGUGCAUCUCUUUGAGUCUCCUGCAUCUCCUUCCCUCUCUACCUAGGAGUCCCUCCCUAGAUCCAGCUCCAGGUUUGGCCAUCAGCUCUUUAUUAUACAAAAAGCAUAGUCCAGCCUUUACCAAUCAGCAGCAAGAUGAUCUGGUCCAUCUCUUAGGGUGGCCCUUAGGCAAUGAGGCCCAUCUGACCUUCAUCUUUGGGCAGGUGAGGAAGGGCAAGCAUUUCCAUAUAGAAAACCAGUGAUGGGCUAGAAAUGACAGUACCAAGAUCCUGUUAGGUUUUACAAUUAACAAUUGAAAAAUACAGGGACAUACCUUCAAAGGGAAGAUCACCCCGACAUCUUCCCCUUUGUCUUAGCGUUUUUCAUUGCUGUGAGCAGAUACCAAUGACCAGGGAAAUUCUUAUUAAGGACAACAUUUAAUUGGGGCUGGCUUACAGGUUCUGAGGUUCAGUCCAUUAUCAUCAUGAUAGGAAGCAGUGUCCAGGGAGGCCUGGUCCUGAAGGAGCUGAGAGUUCUACAUCUUGUUCCAAAGGCAAACAGGACACGGCUUCUUUCUAUAAACUGAGGUUGCUGUUGGGGUAUUUGUUGCUACUACCGCCCCAAAUUACUGCAAGCUGUUUACCAAUCUUCACAGAUGACAUAAUUUUAUCAUUGAUAUACAGUAUUUUAAUCCCUACUGGGUCUGUUCCUGAUAAUUGACAAAGUCUUAAUCUUCCUUUUACAAUCAAGUCAGGACCUUUUACAUAGGUCUCAAUUUUUUUACUCUGUUUAUAUGCUAAAAAUAUCCAUUCUAAGACAAUAAUCUUUCCUCUGCAUAAGAAUUCCUGUGGGAGAAUGAGUAGAAGGCAAAAUAACUAAAAUCCCAUCAAUCUUUGGAUCCAAGCACUCCAUGUGUGCUUCCGGUAAUCUCUUUUCUACCAGAGCCAAUUUUCUCUCAGUUUUUACUGAUAAUUUUCCCAGACUAUUUAAUUCUGACUCACCUUGUAAGAUUUGAAAUAAAUUACUUAGCUCUUGAAUAGUUAAUCCGGUUUUAACCGAUAGCCAGUUAAUAUCUCCCAGCCAUUUUUGAAAAUCAUUAUGAGUUUGUAAUUGAUCUAUUAUUAUGUAUAUUUUCUGUGGAUGAAUUUUCUGUAAACCUAUCUUAUAUCCUAGAUAAUUAGUAGAAUCUUCUCUUUGUAUUUUUUUCAGGAGAAAUUCAUAUUCCCCAACAAGGCAAACUUAUCCUUCCUUCAUCAAAUAUUUCCCUGAGGAAUCUGAAUCAGCCAGUAAUAUAUUAUCCAUAUAAUGAUAAAUUAUAGAUUCAGGAAAUUGUUCAUGGGUAUGAACAUUGUUCAUUCUAAUGGCUGUUGUACAAAUAUUGACAUAAGGUAGGGCUACUUAACAUUCCUUGUGACAAGAUGUACCAAUAGUAUUUUUAGGCUAUCCAGUAUUUAGUAUUCAUGGUGAAAGCAAAUGUUUCUCUAUAUUGUUCCUCAGGGGGUAUUGAGAAAAAGCAAUUAUUUUUUGAGUUUUAAAAAUUGAUAUUCUUUUUUUAAGUCAAUCACUAUAAUAGACCAUGCAUUAGGUGACAAAGAAGUUAAAAGGAUUCCAGAUUGUAAAGAACCCUUAGGCAGAAUUACUUUAUUAAUUGCUCUCAGAUCUCUCAUUAUCCUCCAUUUUUUUAGAUUUUUUUAAUGACAAAUAUAGAAUUCCAAGAGCUGGUGACUCUUCUGUAUGUUGAGCCUGCAGCUGCUCUUGGAUCAGCUGUUCUGCGGCCUGUAACUUUUCCUUAUUUAAGGUCCGUUGACCUAUCCAAAAAGGUUAGUUAGUUAGUUAUCACUUUAACAGCAGGGCACUUGGUACUCUAUCAGCAGUGGAACCUAUGUAAAUUUAGAGCCAUCUUCUCCUGUGUUCUACCUAUGGACUGCCUUGAUGGUCUGUAACUGAUUUAGAUACCAGUUUUCACUUUAUCAGAGUGAUAACUUUAUCAAAGACAUCUCCUGUCUUCUGACUUGCCCCUGAAGUCGAAGGAAUGCUAACCUGUGCUUCCCAGCGUUGCAAUUGAUCUCUUCCCCAGAAUUUCAUGGCUAUAACAACUAAAUAUGGACUUCAUUUCCUAUCUGACUUUCUGGUUCUAUCCAUUCAGUCCAUUUUAGACCUUUUGUAAACCUGAGAAAAUGUCCCCAGGGGCUGUGCAGUUACAAUAUGAAGUGGCCAAGUUGGGUUCCAGCAAUCUUGAAAAAUUAUUGUUACAUCUUCUCUGGUAUCCACUAGGCCUUCAGUCUCCAUUCCGUCUAAUUGUAAUCUCGACUUCGGUCUCUCAUCAUUUGUAGCAUUAGUUUCCUGGUGUCUUCAGAACCUCUCACUCUGUCCAUCAAAGUAGUUAGGCUUGGCGUACCAGACUUCACUUUCUAUUUGCUCUCCAGAACAGCUUCUCCUUGGCUGACAGGAACCAAUAACUCAUGAUGUGUCUUUGCAGGACCUGAGCAAAGCCCCAUAGACACUUUUCUUAUAGUAGGGCAUGGCCUCAUAUAUCACUGAGUGAUCGGGUUUCACAAGCUCGUGUCUGCCUUGUCCACGUCUUUGACAUAGCCCAGGAAGCUUUCUCCCUGGGUUAGCAUUAGAGAAAAGUUAUACUCGGGAAGUGUCUACAAUCCUUUAGGAGAGGACUUGGGCUUCCACAGCCAAGGCCUCUGACAUUCUGAGCUGUCAUGCAUUUAGCAAUUCCCUGCCCAAUUAUAGAGGAAUUGGAAGCAUUAGAUCCAACAGCACAGUAAUUUUAAUCCAGUCAUAAAUGGGUGUGGAUCGGGCCUUUAAAUGUCUAACCUUUUUGCAUUCAGCAUUAGCAUUCUCAGAACUGAAGGCCCAAUUAAAAUCUCUCUAGCAUCUGAGUCUGAUAUUGCUCUGUUUACAGCUGGCAAUAAUCUUUGUAAAAAGUCAGUAAAAGAUUCAUAUGUACCCUGAGUUAUUUUUUAAGCGAUCCAGAUCGUUUCCCCUGUUGUUCAACCUCAAGCACCUAAAGCUAUCGUACGGCACUGCUAUAAGGUGGUGUCGUUAUGAAUAAUCCACCUGUGUAACUGUUGACUGACCUUGAUCUAGCCACUGACCCUUGACAGUAUCAUUACCAUUAGUCCUACUGCAUCGAUCUGUGGCUGAGGUCUCUUCUCUCCAUCAUGUCAGCCAUUGUAAUUGAUGGCCAGCCUCCAAGACAGCUGACAUUAAAUCUUUCUAAUCUUUUGGAUCUAUAUGAUUUUGCAGGGCCCAGUAAUUAAGUAUCUGUUUCAUAUAAGGGGAAAGGCAUAAGCUACCAUUAAAUCCUUUUAGAUCUAGUAUCUCUAUGGGCUUCCACUCAGAUUCUUCAUAGCCCAGUGGGUUUCCCUCAUCUGGAGCUAAGUCUCUUACAGUAGCUGGAAAAAUUGUAGGUCCUCUAAUGGGCCUAAGCUGCCAUCCUGCAAUCUCAUCACAAGGUGGCGCCAUGGGAUUGGAUUCUUCUGAACUAAAGAGGAAAUUGUGUAUUCUGAUUUUUAAAAACCCUCUAAUUUCUGUUCUAUAUAUUUAAUUUAGCAUUUCAUCUCUCAGGCCUCUCCUUAUCCAAGUCUACUUCCUGUGAAUUUGAGGGGGGAAGGCAAGGAGGUCCUCCCCCUUCUUCUUUCUUCUGCUCUUUCUUAGAGAGGACAUAGAAAACUGCAGUUAUUAUCCAACAUAUCGUUAACUCUAUGCUGAUAAUUAAAGCAAAACUAAACAGGGCCCAAAUACCCUCUGCUACAGUGUUUUCCUUUUGUUAACGCAGAAAGUGUUUUUCUUUUUAUCUUACUCUCUACUUCCUUCACUUCAGUGUUUAAAGUUAGUAUUUCCUCCCGAGGCUGUCUCUACCAAGUUUCUUCCCCUAUUUCAAUUCUAUUUCUCUUCUUACCACUUCCAAACUUUAAUGUCUAUUUCUAUACUUAAGUUUCUCUAAAUUCUGUCCUCUGGGGAUUGCCUCCUCUGAGCCUAGGUCUUUAGCUUCCUGCCCCACUGCAGACCUGGGAAAGUGAACCUUUCUUCUGAGUAAGGGACCAGGUCUGUCCACCACCCAGCCCUCACAGAGUCGUGUGCCACAGCGGACUGCCACUCUCGUACUGGGUUCUCUCAUCCAGGCCGCACGUCUGGAGCUUGUCUCGGGCCUUAACCUUGGAUCUCACACCCUGUGUCGGUUUGCCAGAUAUCACAGGACUUUUGUGGGCUGAAUUGUGGUUUAAAUAAAACACAGAGACUUCUCUGUAGUUUAAAGCUGUUGGCCUUAUGUUUGGGCAGUCUCUCAGCCAGCUCAUCUAAACCUAUCUCAACUUUCCUGCUAUCCCCUCUAAUCAUGUGGUUCUCACUCCCUGAUUACAGCUCAAUUCUCUCCCUUCUGCUCCCUUCUGUGUCUCCCUCCAUCUGCAAUGCUUUUCUAAUCCCCCAAGUCUCCUUUCUGCCUCUGCCUGCAAGUCCUGCCCUCAUACCUCUAACCCAGGUUUGGCCAUCAGCUCUUCAUCAUACAAAAAGCAUAGUCCAGCCUGAACCAAUCAGCAGCAAGACGAUCUGGUCCAUCUCUUAGGGUGGCCUUUAGACAGUGAGGGCUGCCAGACCUUCAUCUUUGGGCAGGUGAGGAAGGGCAAGCAUUUCCAUAUAGAAAACCAAGGAUGGGCCAUAGAAAUGACAGUAUCAAGAUCCCGUCACCACUUAGCUCUCUACUGGUACAGAAGUAGCAACUGGAAAUACAGGGACACAUCUUCAAACAACGUGAGGGAACGUGGGGAGGGGGUCCUAGGGAGAAAGGAGCUUCUCCAAACUUAAGCUCAGUGUUUGAGAUGUGACAUUCAAAACCCUGGAUGUUCAGAUGAGGUUUCGAUAAAAAUCCUAACUUUUUUAAAUUCAUACUUUAAAGUAUGAGGUAGAUGAUGUGAUUAAUGCACAGUGAUCAUUGAUGCAGAUGGAGUCAUUGGAAAGACAUAAAGAUGAGUAGAAAAUGGCAACUUCUAGUAGUUUUUAAAGGCAAAGAUAUAAAUUAGUGGUCAUUGACUUAACCAGUUAUAUAUCCGAGAAAAUUAACGGAUGUCAAAUGUGCUCAUAUGCUACUUAAAAAUUACUUAGAGAAAGUAGGCAAACACUUAGUUACCUGACAUCUCAGUGUGGGCAAAUAAAGUACAAUUAUGAGUUUCAAGGGACUUCAUUCACAAGGCAUCGCCUUUUAAGAAAAAAAAAUGAGAUCAUCUUCUGAACAAAUGAAAAAGAAAGUCAACUCAAAUGGAUCAAAGACCUCACCAUAAAACUGGAUACACUGAGUCUAAUGAAAGAGAAAGUGGGAAAUAGCUCUGAAUACGUUGGUACAGGGGACAACUUCUGAACAAGUCACCAAUGGCUAUAAGAUCAACAAUUGAUUACUGGGACAUCAUAAAACUGAAAAGCUUCUGUAAGGCAAAGGAUACUGCCAACAGGACAAGAUGGUAGCCUACAAAUCGAGUAAAGAACUUCACCAACACUACAUCCAACAGAGGGCUAGUAUCCAAAUAUGUAUAAAGAACUCAUGAAAUUAGACCAGCAAACCAAAUAACCCAAUUAAAAAUGAGGUACAGAGCUAAACAGAGAAUUCUCAACAGAGGAAUCUCAAAUGGCCGAGAAGCACUUGAAUGUUCAACAUCCUUAUCAGCAAAGUGCAAAUCAAGGCAACCCUGAAAUUCCUCCUUAUGCCCAUCAGAAUGGCUAACAUUGAAAAUUCAAGCAACAGCAUAUGCUGGCAAAGAUGUGGAACACUCCUCCACAGCUUGUGUGUGUGCAAACUUGUACAACCAUUCUGAAAAUCCGUUGAACAGUUUCUCAGAAAAUUGGGAAUAGUUCUACCUGCAGACCCAUUUAUACCACUCUGAGGCAUAUACCCAAAAGAUGUUCUGUCAGAUCACGAGGACUUGUGCUCCACUCUGUUCAUAGCAGCUUUAUAUGUAAAAGUCAGAAACUGGAAACAACUCAGAUGUCCCACAACUGAAGAGUGCAUGCGGAGAAUGUGGUUCAUUUCCAUGGUGGAAUAGUACUCAGCUGUUAAAAACAAGGACGUCAUGAAAUCUGCAGGGAAAAUAUCCUGAGUGAGGUAACCCAUAUCCAAAGGAACACACCCACACUACAAUCCACGAACCCAAAGAAGCUAAACAAAAAGGAAAGCCGAAGUGGGGACACUUACUGUCCUAGCUAGUAUUGAUUGUAUCUUUACACUGAAGUCUAGGCAUCUUGAUCAGGAUGACUAUAGUUCUAGGUGUUGAUAUCUAUUUCUGCUUUUAGGGUAGAUAUUUUUGAUCCUUAGUUUCUUUGUCCUCCCUGGACUCCAGGACAGUCUAAUGGCUGUGUGCUGCCAGGUAGAAAAUGUUCUGUGACCUGUUUCCCUGGCCCACUCAUCUUGUGUGUUCCCAGGAUAUGCCUGCUGGUAUUGUAGGCUUGUGAGUGGGAUAAGUUGGGGGAAGGAAGAUUGGAGGAGAAGAUCUGUGAGAUCCGUUGGAAAUUGGGUCAGAGAGGAAAGGGAGGCUCCAGCAGGUGCAGUCUCUGUAGGAGACAACAGUGUGGGAAUGAGACUGGGGUGUUGGAUCUAGAGGACCAGAAGGUGAGGUGAAGAUCAGCAGCUGGCCAUUCUGCUCUCUUGGCAGGAGAGGCCUUUGGAUUAGUGGGGGUGCCUUCAGGGGUUGGAGCCUGGGACAAAGUGAGCAAUGAGUGUGUGUGUGUGUGUGUGUGUGUGUGUGUGUGUAUGUGUGUGUGUAAGAUCUGUGGGAUCCACAGGAGAUGGGAACAGCAAGGGGUCAGAGAAGGCUACCACAGUUGUGGUGCAGAGCUGGUAUGAGAGCUAGAUGAGCCACUUUUGAGGGAGUAAUGGGAAGCAAGAAGUAUUGGAGUAAUAGAAUAAUUUAAAAAAUAUAAGACGCAUUAAUAAAAAACAAUAAGCAAGAGAUAUAGCAAAGAAACUAACCGAAAACAAAGCAGUUGGCCAGAAAUUAUAUACACAAGCAACUCAUCUGGUUCAUCAGUUUACAUGUCAGUUUAGAAGAGGGGAUGAAUCUGAGUGCGGAUGGAGAGUCGUGGACUGGGUUAGAAGGAUGUGGAUAUUGGAAGGGAUCAAGGGAUAAAAGGGGGCAAGUGAUACAGUUUAUGCUUUAAUUUAAACAUGAAGUUGAAAACGUUUAUAACUUCAGAGUUGGAGAGGAGGCUCAUUGGUUCAGUGUGCUUCUGCCUCUUCUAGAAAACCCGUUCAGUUCCUAGAAUGCCAGUCAGGUGACUCACAAUUGCUUCUUAUUCUAGCUCCUCGGGACCGGACACCAUAUUCUAGCCAUCUCAGGUGCCAGCACAACCAUGACAAAUGAAAGCUUACAUAUAUAGACAGACAUAAAUGAAAAUAAAAUUUAAAAUAAGAAAUAUAACAUCGACCAUCUCCAAGAGGAUGCAAAUAAGCAGCUGAAUGUUUAAGGACGAGACAAAAUUUGAAUGGGAAAGGACGUGAAAAGUACUGAUGUCCUCUACAUGACAAGCCCUGUACAUUAAGUGUAGUGAACGUCAGCAUAGAAUAGUCAAGCAAAACAGGGCUGGAAGUCAAGGGAACUUGGACGGUUGGGAAAACAAUGAUCCAGAGAGGCAUUGCCAUCCAUACGAUUCUGACAACAAGUUCACUGUGCUGUGUCCAGAGGCGAUGAGAAAGAAGUGAUGUGUCUCCACUUGAAGAGUCAUAUACAUGACAAGGAUAACAGACAACGGUCAGGGGCUUGGAAGCAAAGGAUGAGGGGCCAUGAGAUUAAAAAGGUCAUCCUGAGACAGCAGAACCGAGGACUCUUCAGAGGAAGCCUCCUCAGCGGAGAUGGUGCAGUUCCUAGGGGAGUGUAUCCCCAGCUCAGCUGAGGAGUUCAGGAACCUCAGCUCUGCCCCUCAUUUUUUCUCUUCUCUCAUUGCUUCUUGAGUUUUCCGGAUUGAGGAUUGAUGGGAGAUCAAAUUCUGUGCUUGGGGAGCACAGCAAUUGACAUCUCGGAUGCACCCAGGAAAAUGUGACUCUGAUUCCUUGAAGCACUGCUUAUUGAAGCACGGUGUUGUAAGGACUUCCUAACAGAUAUAUUUACACGGAGUGCCUUGCAGUAUACCAGAGUCCCAAAACGACAAGAAGAUUAGGGGUGGUCCAUGUGCUGAGCCACCUAAAGGAUCCUUCCAUUUGACCAUAUUGAAAGAGGAUUGUGUAUGAGGAUGCCAAAAUCUAUCUUCAGCAGAUCUGCCGUCCUUGUCUAAUGGGAAAAAUGUAAUCCCUUGAGGAUUAUAAGAAUUCCCUGUUUCACGAGUUAUGUUAAAUUGUGACCAAAACUUCAUAAAUGACUUUCUAAGUCUAACUCAUCUUCAUCUGGGAAUUCGGCCAGAGAAGGGAGAGGAGGCACAGGGGCAGCUGCAGAUGGUUGCUCCCCAGCACCCUGCGUUCUUCAAUGUCCUCAACUACUACUCAGCUUGUGUAAUUUUUGAGACUCAUGGCCAGGAUCUAAAUCAUCCCUGAUUAAAGCCCACAAAGGAAAAGUAUCACUAUGAAUAUGCUUCCACUUCUAAUCUCUUUUUAUAUAAUGAAAGACUACAGGAAAUAAUAGAUAUGGUGAGUGUAAGAUGAGAAUUUCCUUUAAAUCUCUUGAGUUCUGAUACAUGUUUUAUAUAUUAUCAAAAGCAAUUGUCUUUAAAUCUUAACUUCAGUUGUGUUCUGGGAAUGCAAAUAAUGCUCCUCAGAUAUAUGUUAUACUACCCACUUGAUAGAACGUAUUUGAGACUAAUAACCCAGUUGAAGAAAUUACCACGGAAGCUCCCCAUUCAACCAAUGUGAACAAAUAAUAGAGAAAAAAAUCAUUGUGCAGAGGAAGGUAUAUGGUGCAUUCUAUAAAUAUAUACAAGUGAAUUUGAUGGCUGGAAAAUCUGACAUGUUGAUUACAGAAUUGAUUGUAUAUCUUUGCCCCUUUUAGUGUGGGCUGACAAAUGUGCACACCCAGAAGGGUUUGCUUUUGUUUUUUGUUUUAUAGGAGAAUUACAUAUUCUUUGAAGGACACAAAUGGUAACUGAUAUGAAAUGCUUGCUCUUCUCUAGAGCGAUGAUUUCUCCCACUCUCAGCAUUUCUUUCUUUCUUUUUUAAUCUAUUAAUUUUUACCUCAAAUGAUAGCCCACAUCCCAGUUACCCCUCCACAAAUCCCUCAUCCAUUUGCCCUCUUCUCUCCACUUUGCCUCUAUGACGGUGCUCCCCCAUCCACCCACCCCACUCCUCCAACAUCCCCUUACACUGGGGCAUCAAACCUCUACAGGACGAAUGGCCUCCCCUCCCAUUGAUGUCAGAUAAGACCAUCCUCUGCUACAUAUGUAUCUGGAGCCAUGGAUCCCUCCCUGUACACUCUUUGGCUGGUGGUUUAGUCCCUGAGAGCACUGGGUGAUCUAUUUAGUUGAUAUUAUUCUUAUGGGGUUGCAAUCCCACUCUGCCCCUCCAGCCCUUCUGGUGGCUCCCCAACUGGGAUCCCUGAGCUCAGUGUGAUGGUUGGCUCCAAGCAUACACAUCUCCAUGGGUCAUUUGCCUGCUGAACCUCCCAAGGGACAGGCAUAACAGGUUCCUCUCAUGAAGUAGCAACAGUGUCAGGGGCUGGUGGGUGGGUGACAUCUGCAGACAGGAUGGAUCCCCAGGUAGUCCCUGGAUGGCCCUUCCUUCAGCCUCUGCUCCAUUUUUGUCUCUUUCUUUACUUUGGACGGGAACAUUUCUGGGUAAAAAAAAAAAAACCUUUGAGAUGGGUGGAUGGCCCCAUCCCUCGACUGGGGGGCAUGCUGAUCUACUGGAAGCAGUUUCUACAGGUUCUAUCACCCCUUCACUGUGCAUUUCAGCUAAAGUCAUCCCCAUUGGCUCUUGGACCUCUCGCUUCCCGGGCACCUGGGACCCUCCAGAGGCCACCCAUUCUCAGUUUAAUUCUAUACCCCAUAUUUUGAUUGGGUCGUAUGGGUUUUUUGGUGAUUAGCUUCUUAAAUUCUUUAUAUAUUUUGGAUAUUAGCCCUCUAUCGGAUGUGGGGUUGGUGAAGGUUUUUCCCCCCGAUCUGUAGGAUGCCAUUUUGUCUUAUUGAGUAUGUCCUUUGCCUUACAGAAACUUUCCAGUCUCAUGAUGUCCCAUUUAUCAGUUCUUGGCUUUAGAGCAUGAGCCGUUGGAGUUCCGUUUAGGAAAUUUCUGCCUGUGCCAAUGGGUUCAAGGCUCUUUUCCACUUUCUCUUCUAUUAGGUUGAGUAUAUCACAUUUUAUGUUGAGAUCUUUGAUUCAUUUGGACUUGAGCUUUGUGCAUGGUGACAAAUAUGGGUCUAUUUUCAUUUUUCUACAUAUAUACACCCAAUUAGACCAGCACCAUUUGUUGAAACUGUUGUCUUUUGUCCAUUGGAUGGUUUUAGCACCUUUGUCAAAGAUCAAGUGACCAUAGGUUUGUGGGUUUAUUUCUGGGUCUUCAAUUCUAUUCCAUCGAUCUACCUGCCUGUCUCUGUACAAAUACCAUGCGGGUUUUAUCAUUAUUGCUCUGUAGUACACCUUGAGGUCAGGAAUAGUGACUUCCCCCAGAAGUUCUUUUAUUGUUGAGAAUAGGUUUUUCUAACCUGGGAUUUAUUUGUGUUAUUUCAAAUGAAUUUGAGAAAUUCUCUUUCUAAUUCUAUGAAGAAUUGAGUUGAAAUUUUGAUGGGGAUUGUACUGAAUCUGUAGAUUGCUUUCAGUAAGAGGGCCAUUUUUUACUAUAUUAAUCCUGACAAUCUAUGAGCAUGGGAGAUCUUUCCAUCUUCUGAGGUCUUUCUUUCUUCAGGGACUUAAUGUUUUUGUCAUACAAAUCUUUCACUUGCUUGGUUAGAGUCACACCCAAAUAUGUUAUAUUACUUGUGAGUAUUAUGCAGGGUGUUGCUUCCGUAAUUUCUUUCUCAGCCUGUUUAUCCUUUGAGUAGAAGAAGGCUACUGAUGUUUGAGGUAAUUUUAUAUCCAGCCACUGUUCUUGAGUAGUUUAUCAACUAUAGGAGCUCUCUAGUACAAUUUGGGGGGUCACUUAAGUAUGAUAUCAUAUCAUCUGCAAAUAAUGAUAUCUUAAACUUCUCACAUUCCUGGCCCAAGAAAAACCUGCCUAGUUUCCUCUAGAUACAGGAAUAUAGGAGCAGUCAGCAGCAGGAACCUGUUGUUUUCUGACUGAGCCCAGAACUGAACUGAACUGGUCCCAUAGCUCCCUGUACCAAAAUCCCAUUGGGGAGAGAGCUGGACUCUCAGAAUUGCGGACAAUCCUGAGAGCCCAAAGGAGACAACUAUGUCUGUCCAUAUUCCUGACCAAAGAUGGACCUGCCUAGUGUCCUCUGUCCCCUCUGGGCACAGGGACCUAGGAGCAGUCAGGGGCAGGACCCUUGGGGAUUCUGCCUGCACCAAGAGCUGAAAUCCAGUUGCCAGGAGUGCCUACACACAUGAGAACAGAGGUAAGAGCAACUUUUCUGCUCUAAGCAACCUGCCCGUUGGCCUCAGGACACAUAAAGGCAGAAAUUGUCUGGGACAGUACACUUCUGGUUUCUGGCUGAGCCUAGAGCUGAGCAGGUCCCAGAGUUCCCAGCACCCAAAUCCUGUGGGGGAGGGAGCUGGACUUUCAGAAGUGUGGACAAUCCUGAGAGCUCAGGGGAGACUGCCACUUCUCACAUUGCUGGCCCAAGAGGAAGCUACCUAGUGGCCACUGAAUAUAGGGAUAUAGGAACAGUCAGCGGCAGGAACCUCUGGUUUCUGACUGUGCCUGAACUGAACUGAACUGGUUCCACAGCUCCCUGCACCCAAAUCCGGUGGGGGAGAGAACUGGACUCUCAGAAUUGCGGACAAUCCUGAAAGCUCAGAGAAGACAACUACUUCUGCCCACAUUCCUGACCCAAGAGGAACCUGCCUAGUGCCCUCCAUGCCCUCUGGGCACAGAGACCUAGGACAGUCAGGGGCACAGCCCUUGGGGUUUCCACCUGUGCUGAGAGCUGAAAGUCAGUCAACAGGGCUGCCAACACACUUGAGAGCAGAGGUAAGAUCAACUCUUCUGUGCCAAGCAACCCACCUGGAGGCUUCAGGUGACACAAAACCAAGAGCAGCUCUCUGUUCCCAAAUCCAGCUGAAAGGAAACAGGCCUACAGGAGGGUCAAGCCACUGUCAGAGACAGCAAAACAAGCUAACAGUAGAGACAUCCUGCUGGUGAGAGGCAAGCCCAGAAACAUAAGCAACAGAAACCAAGACUACUUGACAUCAUCGGAGCCCAGUUCUCCCACGAAAGCAAAUACUGUAUAUCAAAACACUAGAAAAGCAAGAAUUGGAUUUAAAAUUCUUCUUUAUUCUUCAAGAUGAUGAUAGAAGACUUUAAGGAGGACAUAAAUAACUCCCUUAAAGAAAUACAGGACAACACAGGUAAACAAGUAGAAGCCCUUAAAGAGGAAACACAAAAAUCCCUUAAAGAAUUACAGGAAAACACAACCAAACAGGUGAAGGAAUAGAACAAUACCAUCCAGGAUUUAAAAACGGAAAUGGAAACAAUAAAGAAAGCACAAAAGAGGACAACCCUAGAGAUAUAAAACCUAGGAAAGAGAUCAGGAGCCACAGAUGCAAGCAUCACCAACCAAAUACAAGAGAUAGAAGAGAGAAUCUCAGGGGCGGAAGAUACCAUAGAAAACAUCAACACAGCCAUCAGAGAUAACGUGAAACACAAAAAGCUCCUAACCCAAAACAUCCAGGAAAUCCAGGACACAAUAAGAAGAUCAAACCUAAGAAUAAUAGGUAUAGAGAAGAGUGAAGACUCCCAACUUAAAGGGACAGUAGGUACCUUCAACAAAAUUAUAGAAGAAAACUUCCCUAACCUAAAGAAAGAGAUGCCCAUAAACAUACAAGAAGCCUACAGAACACCAAAUAGAUUGGACCAGAAAAGAAAUUCCUCCCAUCAUGUAACAGUUAAAACACCAAAUGCACAAAACAAAGAAAGAAUAUUAAAAGCAGUAAGGGAAAAAGGUUAAGUAACAUAUAAAGACAGACUUAUAAAAAUUACACCAGACUUCUUAACAGAGACUAUGAAAGCCAGAAGAUCCUGGGCAGAUGUCAUACAGACCCUAAGAAAACACAAAUGCCAGCCCAGGCUACUAUAUCCAGUAAAACUCUCAAUUAACAUAGUUGGAGAAACCAACACACAGAGGGAAACUGCACCUUACAAAAAGCAAGAAAGCAGUCUCCUUGCAAUGAAACCAAAAGAAGAGAGAGACACAAACAUAAUUCUGCCUCUAACAACAAAAAUAACAGGAAACAACAAUCACUAUUCUUUAAUAUCUCUUAACAUCAGUGGAUUCAACUCAUCAAUAAAAGGCAGUCUAACAGACUGGAUAAGUAAAGAGGACCCAGCAUUUUGGUGCAUACACAAAACACACCUCAGAGACAAAGACAGACACUACCUCAGAGCAAAAGGCUGGAAAACAACUUUACAAUCCAAUGGUCUGAAGCAACAAGCUGGAGUAGCCAUUCUAAUAUGGAAUAAAAUUGACUUUCAACCAAAAGUUAUCAAAAAAGAUAAGGAAGGACACUUCAUAUUCAUCAAAGGAAAAAUCCACCAUGAUGAACUCUCAAUCCUAAAUAUCAAUGCUCCAAAUGCAAGGGAACCUACACUCAUAAAAGAAAACUUACUAAAACUCAAAGCACACAUUGCACCUCACACAGUAAUAGUAGAUGAUUUUAAUACCACACUCAUCAAUGGACAGAUCGUGGAAAUAGAAACUAAAGAGAGACCUAGAGAAACUAACAGAAGUUAUGAACUAAAUGGAUUUAACAGAUAUUUAUAUAACAUUUCAUCCUAAAACAAAAGAAUAAACCUUCUUCUCAGCACCUCAUGGUACCAUAUAAUGGGUCAAAAAAUAGGCCUCAACAGAUACAAGAAGAUUGCAAUAAUCCCAUGCAUCCUAUCAGAUCACCAUGGAUUAAGGCUGGUCUAAAAUAACAAAAACGACAGAAAGCCCACAUAUAAAGGGAAGUUGAACAAUGCUCUACUCAAUGCUAAUUUGGUCAAGAAUGAAAUAAAGUAAGACAUUAAAGACUUUUUGGAAUUUAAUGAAAAUGAAGUCACAGCAUACCCAUACUUAUGGGACACACUGGAAGUAGUGCUAAGAGGAAAACUCAUAGCACCGAGUGCCUUCAAAAGGAAACUGGAAAGAGCACGCACUAGCAGCUUGACAGCACAGCUGAAAGCUCUAGAACCAAAAAAGCAAAUACAAGAGGAGUAGAAGGCAUAAAAUAAUGAAACUCAGGGCUGAAAUCAACCAAGUUGAAACAGAACGAACUAUACAACGAAUCAACACAACCAGGAGCUGGUCCUUUGAGAAAAGCAACAUGAUAGAUAAACCCUUAGCCAGAAUAGCCAGAGAGCACAGAGAAAUUAUACAGAUUAACAAAAUCAGAAAUGAAAAUGGACAUAUAACAACAGAAUCUGAAGAAUUUCAAAAAAUCAUGAUAUCCUACUACAAAAGCCUAUGUACAACAAAAUCAGAAAAUCUGAAUGAAAUGGUCAAUUUUCUAGAAAAAUACCAGAUACAAAAAUUAAAUCCGGAUCAAAUAAACAAUCUAAACAAUCCCAUAACACCCAAAGAAAUAGAAACAGUUAUUAAAUGUCUCCAAACCAAAAAAGACCUCAUACCAAUACUAUUCAAACUAUUACACAAAAUAGAAACAGAGAGCACUACCCAUAUCCACCUAUGAACCCACGAUUAUGCUUAUACCUAAACCAUACAAAGACUCAACAAAGAAAGAGAACUUCCGACCAAUUUCCCUUAUGAAUAUCGACGCCAAAAUACUUAAUAAAAUUCUCACAAACUGAAUUCAAGAACAUCAAAAUCAAGAAGGCUUCAUCUCAGGGAUGCAGGGAUGGUUCAAUAUACAAAAAUCCAUCAAUAUAAUCCACUAUGUAAACAAAUUCAAAGAAAAAACACACAUGAUCAUCUCAUUAGAUGCUGAGAUAGCAUUUGACAAAAUUCAACACCCCUUCAUGUUAAAAGUCUUAAAAAAGAUCAGGAAUUCAAGGCUCAUCCUGAAACAUAGUAAAAGCAACAUACAGCAAAUGAGUAGCCAACAUUAAACUAAAUGGAGAGAAACUUGAACCAACCCCACUAAAAUCAAGGAUUUGACAAGGCUGCCCACUCUCUCCCUACUUAUUCAAUAUAGUAUUCAAAGUCCUAGCCAGACAGCAAUCAGACAACAAAAAGAGGUCAAAGGGAUACAAACUGGAAAGGAAGAAGUUGAAAUAUCACUAUUUGCAGAUGAUAUGAUAGUAUAUUUAAGUGAUCCCAAAAAGUUCCACCAGAGAACUACUAAACCUGAUAAACACCUUCAGCAAAGUGGCUGGGUAUAAAAUUAACUCAAAUAAAUCAGUAGCCUUCAUCUACACAAAAGAGAAACAAGCCGAGAAAGAAAUUAGGGAAAUGACACCCUUCAUAAUAGUCCCAAAUAAUAUAAAAUACCUCGGUGUGACUUUAACCAAGCAAGUGAAAGAUCUGUAUGAUAAGAACUUCAAACCUCUGAAGAAAGAAAUUGAAGAAGAUCUCAGAAGAUGGAAAGAUCUCCCAUGCUCAUGGAUUGGCAGAAUUAAUAUACUAAAAAUGGCCAUUUUACCGAAAGCAGUCUACAGAUUCUAUGCAAUCCCCAUCAAAAUUCCAAUCCAAUUCUUCAUAGAAUUAGACAGAACAAUUUGUAAAUUCAUCUGGAAUAACAAAAAACCCAGGAUAGCUAAAACUCUCCUCAACAAUAAAAGGACUUCUUGGGGAAUCACUAUCCCUGAACUCAAGCAGUAUUACAGAGCAAUAGUAAUAAAAAAAACCUGCAUGGUAUUGGUACAGAGACAGACAGAUAGACCAAUGGAAUAGAAUUGAAGACCCAGAAAUGAACCCACACACCUAUGGUCACUUGAUUUUUGACAAAGGAGCCAAAACCAUCCAAUGGAAAAAAAGAUAGCAUUUUCAGCAAAUGGUGCUGGUUCAACUGGAGGUCAACAUGUAGAAGAAUGCAGAUCAAUCCAUGCUUAUCACCCUGUACAAAGCUUAAGUCCAAGUGGAUCAAGGACCUCCACAUCAAGCCAUAUACACUCAAACUAAUAGAAAAAGUGGGGAAGAAUCCCAAACACAUGGGCACUGGAGAAAAUUUCCUGAACAAAACACGAAUGGCUUAUGCUCUAAGAUCAAGAAUCGACAAAUGGGAUCUCAUAAAACUACAAAGCUUCUGUAAGGCAAAGGACACUAUUGUUAGGACAAAAUGGCAACCAACAGAUUGGGAAAAGAUCUUUACCAGCCCUACAACUGAUAGAGGGCUUAUAUCCAAAAUAUACAAAGAAAUCAACGAAGUUAAACUGCAGAGAGACAAAUAACCCUAUUAAAAAUGGGGUUCAGCAAAGACUAUACAUGGACUGACCCUGGGCUACAACCUUAUAGGUAGCAAUGAAUAGCCUAGUAAGAGCACCAGUGGAAAGGAAAGCCCUUGGUCCUGCCAAGACUGAACCCCCAGCGAACGUGGUUUUUGGGGGGAGAGUGGUA